rnacentral:rRNA from 1 species
ACUCCUACGGGAGGCAGCAGUGGGGAAUAUUGCACAAUGGGGGAAACCCUGAUGCAGCCAUGCCGCGUGUGUGAAGAAGGCCUUCGGGUUGUAAAGCACUUUCAGUAGGGAGGAAGGUAGUGUAGUUAACACCUGCACUAUUUGACGUUACCUACAGAAGAAGCACCGGCUAACUCCGUGCCAGCAGCCGCGGUAAUACGGAGGUGCGAGCGUUAAUCGGAAUUACUGGGCGUAAAGCGCAUGCAGGCGGCCUGUUAAGUCAGAUGUGAAAGCCCGGGGCUUAACCUCGGAAUUGCAUUUGAAACUGGCAGGCUAGAGUCUUGUAGAGGGGUUAGAAUUUCGAGGUGUAGCGGUGAAAUGCGUAGAGAUCUGAAGGAAUACCAGUGGCGAAGGCGGCCCCUGGACAAAGACUGACGCUCAGAUGCGAAAGCGUGGGAGCAAACAGGAUUAGAUACCCC